GCCUUUGUGGUAUAAUUGGAAGCACACUCGACGCGUAUUCGAGAGGUCCAGGGUUCGAGUCCCAGCGAGGCG
rnacentral:tRNA from 1 species